GAAAUGCGAUAAGUAAUGUGAAUUGCAGAAUUCAGUGAAUCAUCGAAUCUUUGAACGCACCUUGCGCUCCUUGGUAUUCCGAGGAGCAUGCCUGUUUGCGUGUCAUGGAAUUCUCAACUCUAUUUGCUUUUGUGAAUAGAGCUUGGAUUUGGAGGUUUAUUGCUGGUACUUGUGAUCGGCUCCUCUUGAAUGCAUUAGCUCGAACCUUUGCGGAUCAGCUAUCGGUGUGAUAAUUGUCUACGCCGUUGCAGUGAAGCAUAUCAAUGGGCUCGGCUUCCAAUCGUCCUUUACUGGACAAUGACUUUGACCUUUGACCUCAAAUCAGGUAGGAUUACCCGCUGAACUUAAGC
rnacentral:misc_RNA from 1 species